CCUACGGGAGGCUGCAGUGGGGAAUAUUGGACAAUGGGGGCAACCCUGAUCCAGCCAUGCCGCGUGUGUGAAGAAGGCCCUCGGGUUGUAAAGCACUUUCAGUGAGGAAGAACGCCUGGUGGUUAAUACCCAUCAGGAAAGACAUCACUCACAGAAGAAGCACCGGCUAACUCCGUGCCAGCAGCCGCGGUAAUACGGAGGGUGCGAGCGUUAAUCGGAAUUACUGGGCGUAAAGCGCGCGUAGGUGGCUUGAUAAGCCGGUUGUGAAAGCCCCGGGCUCAACCUGGGAACGGCAUCCGGAACUGUCAAGCUAGAGUGAAGGAGAGGAAGGUAGAAUUCCCGGUGUAGCGGUGAAAUGCGUAGAGAUCGGGAGGAAUACCAGUGGCGAAGGCGGCCUUCUGGACUGACACUGACACUGAGGUGCGAAAGCGUGGGUAGCAAACAGGAUUAGAUACCCUAGUAGUC
rnacentral:rRNA from 1 species